rnacentral:rRNA from 1 species
GACGAACGCUGGCGGCGUGCCUAACACAUGCAGGUCGAGCGAAUGAAGUUCCUUCGGGACUGGAUUUAGCGGCGGACGGGUGAGUAACACGUGGGCAACCUGCCUCAUAGAGGGGAAUAGCCUCCCGAAAGGGAGAUUAAUACCGCAUAAGAUUGUAGUACCGCAUGAUACAGCAAUUAAAGGAGCAAUCCGCUAUGAGAUGGGCCCGCGGCGCAUUAGCUAGUUGGUGAGGUAAUGGCUCACCAAGGCGACGAUGCGUAGCCGACCUGAGAGGGUGAUCGGCCACAUUGGGACUGAGACACGGCCCAGACUCCUACGGGAGGCAGCAGUGGGGAAUAUUGCACAAUGGGGGAAACCCUGAUGCAGCAACGCCGCGUGAGUGAUGACGGCCUUCGGGUUGUAAAGCUCUGUCUUCAGGGACGAUAAUGACGGUACCUGAGGAGGAAGCCACGGCUAACUACGUG